ACUGAAUGGGCUAGGGCAUACACCAAUGUACCAAACCCUAUCAAACUCCGAAUACUUAUAGCGUAACCACGGCAGUCAGGCGGCGAGUGAUAAAAUCCGUCGUCAAGAGGGAAACAACCCGGACUAACAGCUAAGGUCCCCAAAUCUCAUUUAAGUGGAAAACGAUGUGAAGUUACUGAAACAACCAGGAGGUUGGCUUAGAAGCAGCCAUCCUUUAAAGAUAGCGUAAUAGCUCACUGGUCUAGUGAUUUUGCGCGGAAAAUAUAACGGGGCUAAAAUGAGUACCGAAGCUUUAGAUAGUGUCUAUGAUUAUUUAUACUAGCUUGUCUCUUUGGCAUCUUUAAAUGAGCUUCAUUUUUUCUCCUGCGGCAACCUACACGGUUAGCCUUAGUCGAAAAAAUAUCAGCAACAUUUAAAUCUGCUCAAAGAUACUUCGCUUCUUGCAUUCAAAUUUAAAUGCAACGUCUUGAUCUAAAUUUUAGAAAUUUCAAAAUUUCUUAUAAUUUUAAAAUUUAGCAACAAAAAGCAAAAAGACAAGCCUAAGUAAAGUAUAAAUACUCAUAGACACUGUGGUAGGAGAGCGUUCCAAUCAGCGUCGAAGCCGUACCGGUAAGGAGCGGUGGAGCGGUUGGAAGUGAGCAUGCAGGCAUGAGUAGCGAUAAAAUACGUGAGAAUCGUAUUCGCCGUAAACCCAAGGUUUCCUACGCGAUGCUCGUCAUCGUAGGGUUAGUCGGGUCCUAAGCAAAGUCCGAAAGGGGUAUGCGAUGGAAAAUCGGUUAAUAUUCCGAUACCGAUAUCAGUGUGCGACGGAAGGACGCUUAAAGUUAGUGGAGCUAGCGGAUGGAAGUGCUAGUCUAAGGAAGUAGGUUGAGUUAUAGGCAAAUCCGUAACUCUUUAUCCGAGAUCUGAAAGGCUUCUGACGCUCUUCGGAGUAGAUGAAGAAUCCAUGAUACUAUCGAGCCGAGAAAAGUUUCUAAGUUUAGCUGAUAUCGCCCGUACCGUAAACCGACACAGGUGGGUGGGAUGAGUAUUCUAAGGCGCGUGGAAGAACUCUCUUUAAGGAACUCUGCAAAAUAGCACCGUAUCUUCGGUAUAAGGUGUGCCUAGCUUCGUUAAGAAUUUACUUCGUAAGCGAAGAAGGUUACAACAAAGAGUCCCUCCCGACUGUUUACCAUAAACACAGCACUCUGCUAACUCGUAAGAGGAUGUAUAGGGUGUGACGCCUGCCCGGUGCUCGAAGGUUAAUUGAUGACGUUAGCUUACGCAAAGCGUCUGAUCGAAGCCCGAGUAAACGGCGGCCGUAACUAUAACGGUCCUAAGGUAGCGAAAUUCCUUGUCGGUUAAAUACCGACCUGCAUGAAUGGCGUAACGAGAUGGGAGCUGUCUCAAAGAGGGAUCCAGUGAAAUUGUAGUGGAGGUGAAAAUUCCUCCUACCCGCGGCAAGACGGAGAGACCCCGUGGACCUUUACUAUAGCUUGACACUGCUACUUGGAUAAAGAUGCGCAGGAUAGGUGGGAGGCUUUGAUUCGUAGAUCUCGGUUUACGAUGAGCCAUUGUUGAGAUACCACUCUUCUUUAUUCGGGUAGCUAACUAGCCUAAGUUAUCCUUAGGUAGGACAAUGUCUGGUGGGUAGUUUGACUGGGGCGGUCGCCUCCCAAAAUGUAACGGAGGCUUACAAAGGUUGGCUCAAAGCGGUUGGAAAUCGCUUGCAGAGUAUAAAGGCAAAAGCCAGCUUAACUGCGAGACAUACACGUCGAGCAGAGACGAAAGUCGGUCUUAGUGAUCCGGUGGUUCUGUGUGGAAGGGCCAUCGCUCAAAGGAUAAAAGGUACCCCGGGGAUAACAGGCUGAUCUCCCCCAAGAGCUCACAUCGACGGGGAGGUUUGGCACCUCGAUGUCGGCUCAUCGCAUCCUGGGGCU
rnacentral:rRNA from 1 species